rnacentral:lncRNA from 10 species
UCAUGGCAGGACUGUUCACAAUAGGCAAAAUGUCCACCAGCUGCGGGAUGGAUAAACACAUGUGGUCCAUGCAGGGGAAUAUUAUUCAGCCAUGAAAAAGAACAAAGCAGGGACACACACCACAUGGACAAACCCAGCAAACGUUACCGCGAGGGAAAUCACCUAGACACAGAAGGCCACUUGUCCGAUGACGCCAUUUAUAUGGAAUGUACAGAAUGGGAAACAUCCAUGGACAGAAAGUAGACUACUGGGGGUCAUCUAGCGCUGAGGAAGUUGGGGGGAACGGGAGGGUGACAGCUGAGGGGUGUGUUGUCCCUUUGGGGAAAGUGAAAAUGUCAUCAAUUUGAUUGUUGUGAUGACAAGCACAACUGUGUGAAUAAAAGCCCGUUAAAUCACA